rnacentral:tRNA from 2 species
GGGCGAUUAGCUCAAUUGGCUAGAGCGCCUGCCUUACACGCAGGAGGUCGCAGGUUCGAGUCCUGCAUCGCCCA